rnacentral:rRNA from 1 species
CCCUUAGAUGUUCUGGGCUGCACGCGCGCUACACUGAUACCCUCAGCGAGUCCACCACCUUGCCUGGGAGGGUGGGGUAACCUCUGGAAAGUGCAUCGUGAUGGGGACCGAUUAUUGUAAUUAUUAAUCUUCAACGAGGAAUUCCUAGUAAGCAUGUGUCAUCAGCCCGUGCUGAUUACGUCCCUGCCCUUUGUACACACCGCCCGUCGCACCUACCGAUUGGAUGGUCCGGUGAAGCCUCGGGAUUGUGGUUCUUGCCGCUUUAUUGUGGCGUGACCGCGAGAACUUGUCUAAACCUUAUCAUCUAGAGGAAGGUGAAGUCGUAACA